GGGUUGUGAGGUUAAGCGACUAAGCGUACACGGUGGAUGCCCUGGCAGUCAGAGGCGAUGAAGGGCGUGCUAAUCUGCGAUAAGCGCCGGUAAGGUGAUAUGAACCGUUAUAACCGGCGAUACCCGAAUGGGGAAACCCAGUGUGACUCGUCACACUAUCAUUAACUGAAUCCAUAGGUUAAUG
rnacentral:rRNA from 3 species